CCCUUAGAGAUCCUGGGCUGCACGCGACAUACAAUGACAGUGGCAUCGAGUUGCUUCGCCGAAAGGCGCGGCUAAUCUUUGAAAUGCUGUCGUAGUGGGGAUUGACACUUGAAAUUCUUUGUCAUGAACUAGGAAUGCUUAGUAGGUAGGUGUCAUCAUCGCCUGCCGACUACGUCAAUGUUCUUUGUACACACCGCCCGUCAUUUCUACCGAUUGGAUAUUCAGUUGAGUUGUUCGGAUGUAACGCGGACUCGUCCGCGACUCAGAAGUUCCGCGAGGCUUAAUAUCUAGAGGAAGAACAAGUCGUAACA
rnacentral:rRNA from 1 species